rnacentral:lncRNA from 1 species
AGAAACUUUAAAGAAAUAAUCAAGAAUCCUAAAGAAAUACUAAAAAUAAAAUUUUUAAUGUAAGCUUAAUUAAAAUUCUAAUUAAAUCUUAAUAAAAUCCUAAAUCAAAUUUUAAUUGAAAUUCUAAUUGAAUCUUAAUCAAAUCUUAGGUCAAAUUCUAAUGAAAUCUUAUACAAAUCUUAAUCAAAUUUUAAUCAAGUUUUAAACCAAAACCUAAUCCUAAUCAAAUCCUUGAUCAAAUUCUAAAUUCUAAUCAAAUUGUAGACAAAUCCUAAAUCAAAUCUUUAACCAAAUCCUAAAUUCUAAUCAAAUC